GACCCCACCCUCCGGCCGCGCCACCGCCCCUCCGCGCGGCCCCCGCCCCCACGCGGCCGCGCGCAAACUUGGGGGCGAACUUGGAAGGGGCCCUCCGGAGGAAUCACCGGUCGCGUUGCCUUUCCCUCCCUUCCCCAGACACCCACCAGAGAAGCGGCCCCUGCGCGCUCCCGGCGAGGCCAGGCCCGGGGCGGGAAGCGGGUGGGGACCAGGCGCGACGCACGAAAGCCCCCUGGCCAGCGGCGCCUCGGAACCUCCAGGUCAAGGCUGCAAGCCGGCUUCUGCUCCCCCCGUGAGGCCCUUCUAUGUCCGGCUGUGCGGUCAGCGCCUCCCGAGCGCCGGGCGCAAUCAAAGCCUGCAGCGACGGCGGAGCCGGAUGCUUGAGGCCUGGCUGCUUCCCGCCCCACAACCCCACCUCUGUGGGGGCAACACCUGAAUGCCUGAAUGUCACAAAUCUCUACCCACCCCAUCCGUGUACCACCUGUGUCUGGUGCCCGCAGGACAGGACCGUCACCAGCCUCGUCUCAGACCCACAGCCCCCCGCCUGUGUCCUGUCGCAGCCACCUUGCACUUGAUGGAACCUCUGGGGUCUGCAGGGACUGCAGCCCUGGCCUGCAAGGUGCUGGCAGAGACAGGAAGUGCUGGGUUCCUACUCCAAACUCACAUUCCCACACCUCACCCUUGGGAGCAGGAGGAUGACACUGGAGAAGUGGCCAUCCUGUCCCACUGGAAGCGACCAUCAGAGUCAACCCUGGGCUUGCCACCUGAAGAGUAAGUGCAUGAUGUCACGUGGGCUUAGGGAGUAGGGCACGUUUCCUCAGAGGUACCUGGACCCCAAGACAGCAGUCACACACACCGCGACUGCCUCGCCCCCACACCCAUCUUUAGGGUACCCCCAAAGGAGUCCAGAGCAGCUGGCUGCCUGCACCCCCCAUGCCCUUCCUCCCACCAAGGAGCACACACCGUCCCUCUGCCCCCCUCUUCCAUGGCAGGGCGCCAGGGCAGCAGGCUCUAGGCAAGGCACAGGGACAAAGACCCAGCUGUCCCAGGUGGCCGGGAAAGAACAGAGAACAGAGCACUGGGGGUUUUUCCAGAUCCAUGCCCGGGCCUAGGGGUCUGCAGGGGGUGUGGUACGAGGACCCCAAAGGAGGGGGGGUGUUCAGAUGGAGGCUGGGCUGUGCAGAAGUGAGGUUGGUGCUGGAAGCCCUGCCUGCCCACAGGUCCCACCUGCUGGAGCAUGGCCCUGGAGACUCACUUGGAGGAAAUGCAGCGCCCCCUCCCCGCUACAUGCUCAGAUGCAGGAGGUGGGCAGGCCCAGGCAUCUCUCUCUCCCUCCCUAGGUGCUAGGCUUUACUUGGGGCUGAGAUGGCCACCUGGGAUUGGACUAAAGUUCAGAGAAGAGGUCCUCACCAGGGAAAAUGCUCAAGUGGGUGGGCAACCAGCUGUCACCAGACUGCGGCGGGCGUCCUGGUGACACCCUUCUAGCCUGGGGGUGGGCUCUCGGCCUCCCAUCGCCCCCA